rnacentral:rRNA from 1 species
GAUGAACGCUGGCGGCGUGCCUAAUACCUGCAAGUCGAGCGAACGGACGAGAAGCUUGCUUCUCUGAUGUUAGCGGCGGACGGGUGAGUAACACGUGGAUAACCUACCUAUAAGACUGGGAUAACUUCGGGAAACCGGAGCUAAUACCGGAUGAUAUUUUGAACCGCAUGGUUCAAAAGUGAAAGACGGUCUUGCUGUCACUUAUAGAUGGAUCCGCGCUGCAUUAGCUAGUUGGUAAGGUAACGGCUUACCAAGGCAACGAUGCAUAGCCGACCUGAGAGGGUGAUCGGCCACACUGGAACUGAGACACGGUCCAGACUCCUACGGGAGGCAGCAGUAGGGAAUCUUCCGCAAUGGGCGAAAGCCUGACGGAGCAACGCCGCGUGAGUGAUGAAGGUCUUCGGAUCGUAAAACUCUGUUAUUAGGGAAGAACAUAUGUGUAAGUAACUGUGCACAUCUUGACGGUACCUAAUCAGAAAGCCACGGCUAACUACGUG